AGGUGAAAAUGUCAAUAGGGUCAAAGGUCAGCGUCGGAUGCAAUUACUCAUUGUUCAAUCAACGAUGGAAAUUCAAUUAGCUGCUGGAGAUUUAAAAUCCCCCUUUCCUAUGUCGCUGACUACAACAUAUGACCUGUACAUGGCAAUGUAUGAUUGAUUGUGUUCAUUUUGAAGCCCUUCUGAUUAGAAAGUAAUCAAUUACAUAAUGACUAAAGCUAACACAUUUUCCAGCCGUGGCUUUUACCCUACAGUUUUGAAUUAACACCCAAUGCGAGCGCUCCCAGACGGGCCAACCAGAGGAAUCCUCCGGCUCGUGGUUUUCAUUUAACCUUGCCACCCUGAAGGACACCCAAAGAAAGACCGCUCUGUAAAAUAAUUGCAUGUCAUUUUUAGCCAGCCCCAGCCACACGCACGCACACCCAUCUGAGUGAUGAUCGGGGAAGAGGCUGGAGGUCCGCAGCUGCCUCACUAUCAUCAUUAGGAGCAAGUGGCUUUUACAGUAAUUAUUGUGCCUCUUAGGAUUUGGCACUGCGAGCUGGAGCAUAUCGGGUGUCCCCGCACUUCAUUAUAUCCUGACAGGCACCGUGUCAACCUGCCCCAUCUUCUCUUGGUUCCCUAGUUACCACAGCCCCGAGGUGCUUAGAAAAAUCUCCACAUUGCAGGAAAAAGUGCAUUUUUUUUCUCUCGCGUGCUGCAGCAGAAAUAACUGCAGCGGCAACGUCAUUUUCAUUGCAUAGUAAAGCGUCUCAUUAUACCGUGUGUCCCCUGAGACAUAACGAGGGGUGAGGACAGCUCUGUGCGCUCUCGCCAGCUCUUGAGGAUAGGUCAGUGGCCGUGAAUCCUCCCUCUGUGUGUGUCGCUGAUCAUCUCCUCUGGUUCCCCCCGAGCGAUGUGAACCACAGGAUAUUAAUUGUUAAGCACAAACACAGACGUGAUUAUGAUCACUGAAAUCUUAGCAAUUCCUUCCCCGUGGCCCCUGUGUGGGGAUAUACAACGGGUGAAAAGCACUGCUGUGUAACUCCUUACAUACCGAGGAGUACAGAUUAAAUUACAUUAAUGUGAUGGAUGCUUUUGAUCAGUUUUCAAUGCAAUAAGAGUAAAAAGCUAGAUCAUCAAAGCAAGGAGCUGCAACUCAGAAUGCUGUGCAGGAUGUAUUCCAGUGCCACAAGGACAGUAUGGGGAUUUGAAUGUACCAUGAAGAAGAUGUCCUGUAUCAUAGCAACAUGUUUUUUUGUUGUUGUUGUUUUUUUAUGUUCUUUACAUUAAAAAAAAUGCAACAGACAGACCAAGGGACAACAGACAGGGUCAUCAAAACGCUUGGCAAAGGAAAACCAGAGCCACAACUGAGCACAGAGAGCAGCAUCAUUGCCUCCUCUCUCCCUGCAUCAGGACAAGAGGAGGUCUGCGAGACGACAACCAGGACAAAAUUGUGACACUAAUGGUCUCUCCCGAGUCAAGUCACGUAGUAGAAAAAAAAAACACAUUCCUGAGAUGAGAUCUUGGGGGAACUGUCAGGCUCUUGGGCUGCGCCUGUCCAGCUCAUCCACACAAAUGGAAUAUAACCCAGGCAGGGGUUACACAUUGACUUGACUGAAUCAGCAUCUUUGAGGCAUCUACAAACAGAAUCAGCCUCACUGCGAACACCCGGAGCGACUGCUUCUGUCACGGUACAAAUCCCCAAACUGCGUUGCGUCUGUUGUGACACCACAAGCAGACGAGUUGAAAAAGCGUCUCAUCCGGCGCGAUGGGAUCACGGUGGGGGGACAGCAGAGGAUGAGAGUGUACCUCAGGGGUGUUUGCAGUGCGGUGUUUGCCUCAAUUAGACGAUUAACUUUGCGAUCUUGCAUCUCGAGUCUCGCUUGAAAGGUCUGGUGAGUUCAAAGCCGGGAAUGACGAAGGCGACGCAGGAUAAGAAUGGAGAGGGACCAGCAUCUCACGUGGAGUGAAUCAGUUGGUCUUCCUCUUGGGGAAUGCUAAUGGGGGCAAGAUUGUGCACGGAGAGGAGCUUUCACAUCCAUCGUGUUCAUCCAUCUUCAUGACUGGGUAGAAGUUUGGCCAUAUGGAGCAGCUAACCGUGGAAAGAUGGUCCUGUGGUAUAGCCACAGUAUAGCCAGUGGGAGCACAGCAUGGGUUUAAGGGAGAAAAAGGAGCCUUGUUGGCUUUUCUGUGUCAGAUCAAUACUCACUACAUUUUACAUCUACCACAAUUUGGUUCUUAAAAGAUAUCUUGAUGGAUGGAUCGCUUCAUUUGUCUUUAUUAGGUUAGCCUACAGUGCUAUGACCCGACAUCAACCAAAUCUAUAGAAAAAUCUGGCAGUGCAUUAAUAGCCCAUUGAUAACCAUUAGUCUGAAUCCGUUCAUCGGAAUGAAGCAACAAUUUAGCCAUUUGCACAAUAUACAAUGACACUUUAUAUGUGCAAUAUGUAAAGAUUUGAGUGAUCUGAUUGAGGCACUUUUCUGAAUAUCGGAAACAUUUUUUUUUUCUUUCCCUCUGAUGCACCAUGUACCUGCAAAGUAGUUGUCAAACAACUGCAGUGGAGCAGAACAAUAAUAUCAGCCUCCACAAUGUAUUGAAAUGUUAGUGUAGUGCCUCGAAAUUACACUUAUAUAGAGUGCUUGAGUAAAUGUACUUAGUUAUGUUCCAUUUCUGUAACAGAAAAAAAAGCUUAUUUCCCAAACAGCUCUUUUAAUUUUUUGAAUACAGAAAAUCAAUUGACAGUAUUCAUUCUGUUUACAGUAAAACGAGUGAAUGAAUGAAAAUUCAAAUCUGAAGACAGAGUAAAGUAAAUGAAGCACAGUUGUAAAACUGAACAGGCCUCCUUAAAUUCUGCCACUCUCCCUCCCAUUUACACUCCCAUUAUCUCCCUCCCCUGCUGCCUCUUUUGUGUUUCCACUUUGCAUGCUGCAUUGGUUUGUGCACUGCUGUGGAACUUAAGUGUGCUGUCCUUGGAGUGACUAUCAC